rnacentral:ncRNA from 2 species
GGGUGCGCUGUAGAAAAGUUCGUGGCGCAGGUGUUUGGCAGGUCGGGCCGCCUCC